UACGGAGGGUGCAAGCGUUGUUCGGAUUUACUGGGCGUAAAGGGCGCGUAGGCGGCCACCGCAAGUCGACUGUGAAAUCUCCGGGCUUAACCCGGAAAGGUCAGCCGAUACUGCGGGGCUAGAGUGCAGAAGGGGCAACUGGAAUUCUCGGUGUAGCGGUGAAAUGCGUAGAUAUCGAGAGGAACACCUGCGGCGAAGGCGGGUUGCUGGGCUGACACUGACGCUGAGGCGCGAAAGCUAGGGGAGCGAACGGG
rnacentral:rRNA from 1 species